rnacentral:rRNA from 1 species
GACGAACGCUGGCGGCGUGCUUAACACAUGCAAGUCGAACGAAGUGGCGAACGGGUGAGUAAUACGUGAGUAACCUGCCCUCCUUUUUGGGAUAAGCCUUGGAAACGGGGUCUAAUACCGACUAGAGGGGGAUGGGCCCGCGGGCUAUCAGCUUGUUGGGGGGGUGAUGGCCUACCAAGGCGGUGACGGGUUGCCGGCGUGAGAGGGUGACAGGGCGCAUUGGAACUGGUGUAUGCGCCACACUCCUACCGGAGGCAGCAGUGGGGUAUAUUGCCCAAUGGCCGAAAGACUGAUGCGGGGCCGCCGCGUGGGGGCUGAAGGCUUGCGGGUUGUAGACCUCGUUCGCUAUCGAAUGGGUAUGUGGAGAAGAAGCGCCGGCUAACUACGUGCCAGCCGCCGCGGUAAUUC